rnacentral:rRNA from 1 species
GUUUGAUCCUGGCUCAGGACGAACGCUGGCGGCGUGCCUAAUACAUGCAAGUCGAACGAGUCCUCCCAAUUUGAUUUUAUGCUUGCAUAAAUGAUUUUUGGAUUCGGGACGAGUGGCGAACUGGUGAGUAACACGUGGGUAACCUGCCCUGAAGUAGGGGAUAACAUUUGGAAACAGAUGCUAAUACCGUAUAAUUAGUUGGAACCACAUGGUUCCAACUUGAAAGAUGGCUCUGCUAUCACUUUAGGAUGGACCCGCGGCGUAUUAGCUAGUUGGUGAGAUAAAAGCUCACCAAGGCGAUGAUACGUAGCCGACCUGAGAGGGUAAUCGGCCACAUUGGGACUGAGACACGGCCCAGACUCCUACGGGAGGCAGCAGUAGGGAAUCUUCCACAAUGGACGAAAGUCUGAUGGAGCAACGCCGCGUGAGUGAAGAAGGGUUUCGGCUCGUAAAACUCUGUUGUUAAAGAAGAACAAGUGUAAGAGUAACUGUUUACGCUUUGACGGUAUUUAACCAGAAAGCCACGGCUAACUACGUGCCAGCAGCCGCGGUAAUACGUAGGUGGCAAGCGUUGUCCGGAUUUAUUGGGCGUAAAGCGAGCGCAGGUGGUUCUUUAAGUCUGUUGUGAAAGCCCUCAGCUCAACUGAGGAAGUGCAGCGGAAACUAAAGGACUUGAGUACAGAAGAGGAUAGUGGAACUCCAUGUGUAGCGGUGAAAUGCGUAGAUAUAUGGAAGAACACCAGUGGCGAAGGCGGCUAUCUGGUCUGUUACUGACACUGAGGCUCGAAAGCAUGGGUAGCGAACAGGAUUAGAUACCCUGGUAGUCCAUGCCGUAAACGAUGAAUACUAGGUGUUGGAGGGUUUCCGCCCUUCAGUGCCGCAGCUAACGCAUUAAGUAUUCCGCCUGGGGAGUACGACCGCAAGGUUGAAACUCAAAGGAAUUGACGGGGGCCCGCACAAGUGGUGGAGCAUGUGGUUUAAUUCGAUGCUACGCGAAGAACCUUACCAGGUCUUGACAUCUUCUGCCAACCUAAGAGAUUAGGCGUUCCCUUCGGGGACAGAAUGACAGGUGGUGCAUGGUUGUCGUCAGCUCGUGUCGUGAGAUGUUGGGU